rnacentral:rRNA from 1 species
GACGAACGCUGGCGGCGUGCUUAACACAUGCAAGUCGAACGGUGAAGCGCUUGCCUUUUUGGUGGGUGUGGAUGAGUGGCGAACGGGUGAGUAACACGUGAGUAACCUGCCCUCUUCUUCUGGAUAACCUCAUGAAAGUGGGGCUAAUACGGGGUAUUCCGGGUCUGUCGCAUGGCGGGUUUGGGAAAGAUUGCGCCUUUGGUUGUUUUCGGUGGGGGAUGGGCUCGCGGCCUAUCAGCUUGUUGGGGGGGUGAUGGCCUACCAAGGCGGUGACGGGUAGCCGGCCUGAGAGGGUGGACGGCCACACUGGGACUGAGACACGGCCCAGACUCCUGCGGGAGGCAGCAGUGGGGAAUAUUGCACAAUGGGCGCAAGCCUGAUGCAGCGACGCCGCGUGAGGGAUGGAGGCCUUCGGGUUGUGAACCUCUUUCGCCAGUGAAGCAGGCCUGCUCCUGUGUGGGUGGGUUGACGGUAGCUGGAGAAGAAGCGCCGGCUAACUACGUG